UACUGAAUAGUAAUGAGAAGUUAGGUUGAAAGGACAGUGCCACAAUGAUGACAUCAUAUUUGCUACUCUUGACAGCUGGGGUGACGAUAGCUUUAAACCACCAUGAUUAUAACUGAGGCACACAAAAUAAUGCUUUGGGGGCUACUUACAGAGUAAGCAGUAUUUACAUAAUGAUUCCCCCCCCCAGGACUCGUCAGGAAGCUGGAUAACAGAACGAGCGCAAUGUAAGCAAUUUUGUGUGUGCAUGUGGUCCCAUUACAAGGAAUACCCAAUGGCAAAUGAGCACUAAAGAUCCCUCAACCCACACAUCGAAUGUAUUGUUCCCUGAGAGCACUUGUAGAUAGAGGAGUUGGGUGGGAGAUCUGAAGUCAGGGCAUUGUUUCUAUGUAUCUGAGGAGGCUGGUUUUUGAUAUUUGUGGGGAACUAGUGGUCGUUAACUCAUUUACCCCCUAUUUGGUGGACUCUGGUUCCCCCAUCUUAAGUGCUGAGUCAGGGGCAGCUUUAACUAUUUGUUUGUUGUAGGUGCUAGAAUAGAAGACCAGAAAAUGAAAUGGUGGAGUUUGAGGCUGGAUAGACAGUUUGAAAGGUAAGUAUUGAAAAACACUUGAAUUUGGGUCAGUAC
ensembl:processed_transcript growth arrest specific 5